UACGUAGGGUGCGAGCGUUAAUCGGAAUUACUGGGCGUAAAGCGUGCGCAGGCGGCUUCGCAAGUCAGACGUGAAAUCCCCCGGGCUUAACCUGGGAAUGGCGUUUGAAACUACGGAGCUGGAGUAUGGCAGAGGGGGGUGGAAUUCCACGUGUAGCGGUGAAAUGCGUAGAUAUGUGGAGGAACACCGAUGGCGAAGGCAGCCCCCCUGGGCCAAUACUGACGCUCAUGCACGAAAGCGUGGGGAGCAAACAGG
rnacentral:rRNA from 1 species